UUUGGAGCUGGGACCAUGGUCAUUGUUAAACCAAAUCUCGAAAAAUCUAAGGGUUCUAUCUACCAUGUGAAGUCCCAAACUGAGAACUACUCAGCUUGCAUUAUCACGGACUUCUCCCCUGGCAACAUCAGAGCUGGGGACCCAGAGGAUGGUCUCAAAGAAACCAAUGGCUCCAUUGUGCAAGUGAAAAACCCAGACAGUGGAAAAAUGGAAGCAAGCUAUGGGAUCGUGCUCUGGAAAGACCAGCGGAACUUUAACUGCCGUGCCGAAAAUGAAAUGGGAAAUGCCACUUUGGACAAGAGUGCUGAGGAAGGUGACACAUGCAAGAUAAUGGAGCUGGAUGACAAUUUUGAGACAGACGAGAAGCUGAACUUCCUGUCAUUCACGCUGCUGGGCCUGAGAAUCGUUUUUGUAAAAGGAGUGGCGGUUAACCUGCUCCUGACCGUCUGGCUGUGGAAAAGCUAAAGAGUGGAAGGAAAGAGGACAGAUGGAAUCUGGAGUGAUGGGAAUUCCUCAGAGACCUGGUGUCAUCUCUUCACCUUCCCAUGCAGCAGGAAAUAUAAUGAAAUGAAUGAUCCCCAUAUCACCUCUGUAUAUAGGCCUGAUGUAUAAUGAUCUGAUGUGUUUUCAUUUAGCAAGUUUUAGAAGGAUCUCACCUACCUAGCCUGGUUUUUCCAUGACCCUCAUCCCUUUCACCCUCCACAGACUGACACAUUUAUCCUCACAAGCUCCUAGUGUGAGGCAAGGAAUUGCUAUUAACUAGAGCUGGUCAACAAAUGUGUGUGAAAACAUUUUUCGAUGGAAAACUGGGUUUCAAUUUUUUUGGCAGAAAGUCCCCAUUUUCCUAGAAAACAAAUUUUCAUCAGAAACCGAAAAUGUUUGGCUAAAAACUGAAUAUUUUUCAGUUUGUUUUUUUUAAAGUUUUUGGCUACAAGAUUUUUCAGUUUUUGUCUGAAAAUUUUCAGUUUUUAGUUGUCAAACACCAAAACCAACUUUUUUUAACAAUUUUUUUCCCGUGCAAAUUUCAACAUAAUUAAAUAUUUUUAGUCUUCAUUGAAAUUUUCUGCAGAACAAACCGGCUUUACCAUUAACCCUAUUUUGAAAAGGGGAAAUUGAAGCACAGAGACACUGAGGCUGAGAUUUUCAAAGCCUAAGGGCUUUGGGCACCUGUUUCCCUUUGAAAUCAGUGGGAAUUGUGCAUUAAAAUCCCCUAGGUUGAAUUUUACACUCUCUGCCGCACACUGGAAUUUUCAAAGGGGCCUAGCGGAAUGAGGCACCCAUCUCCACUUGAAAUUCAAUAGCAUUUAGGCAGCUAGUUCCUUUGAAAAUCCAGCCAAUGCAUUUCUGAUAGUAGUGGGUUCUUUAUGGCAGAUGCGUGGAAGUUGGCGCUAGACAAAUUCAGCCCGGCAAUAAAGUGCAAAUUAACAGUGAGGGCAAUUAACAAUUGGACUGUCUUAACCACGCAUGUGUGGAUUUCCCCUCACUUGUGCUCUUUACAUCAAGAUGUCUUUCCAAAAGGCCCGCUGUAGUUCACCUAGACAUUAUGGGCUCAAAGCAGGGAUCAGUGGGCAAAACUCUCUGGCUUGUGUUAUAUGCAGGAGGUUGGGCUAGACCAGAAUGGUCCCAUCUGGCCUCUGUGACUUGAAGAAACUCAUACAAAUGACUCCAUGCCGCAGUCUCCAACCAUCCCUGCUCUGCAGAAUUUGAGACCAGAUCCCCGGGUGGUAGAAGUC